GUGGUUGUAGUUUAGUGGUGAGAAUUCCACGUUGUGGCCUGGGAGACGUGGGUAUGAAUCCCAGCAGCCACA
rnacentral:tRNA from 1 species